rnacentral:lncRNA from 1 species
AAAUUAAAAGAUCAAGAAUUUACCAAAACCCAAAGUUAUGGACUGCACACUUUUGGGCCUUUUCCCUUUUUUUUCUAUUCCCCCCCUUUUUUGCUGUUGGGCUGCUGCUAUUGGGCUGCGAAGGACUGGGUCGAAUCUGCUGGCCUGCUGGAUCAGCUGAGGUGCGGGCCGUGUGGAGUGGGCCGAUUGCUGGGUGCUGGACUGUACUGCUGCCCAACUGCUGGAAUGGGCCUGCUGUUGGCAUGCUAAAAAUGGCCUGCUUUCUUUUUUUUCUGCUGGGUUGCUGUUUUGGGCCACUGGGAAUGGGCCUGCUGCUGCUGCUGGUGUGGCCUGCUGGGAGUGGAAUGGCCUGCUGUUGGCUGGACGGGUCUGCUGUGCUGCCUGGGUGUGGACUGGCCUGCUGUUGGGUUGAUGGGUGCCGUGGGUUGGGUCGGUUUGGUCGGGUCGGGUUGACCCGACUGUGAUAUAUAUAUAAUUUUUUCUUUUUUCUUUUUUCUUUUCUUUCUCUUUUUUUUCUUCGGGCCGAACCCUAGCCUUACGCCGCCGCUAACGCUUCCUCCGUUCGGUGGUGCAGUGGUCGGUGCGCCUCCCUUCUCCUCUCUCUCUCUCUUUUUUUUCUUUUCUCUUCUCUUUUCUCCCUUCUUUUUCCUUUUGGUUGCUGUUUUUUUUUCUUUUUUACUUGCUGUUUUUUUUUUCUUUUUUGCUUGUUGCCUUGCUUGAUUGUGUUGUAGGUGCUGGCGGUGGAAGGAAAGCAAGGGCACGGUGGUGGUGAAGGGCGGCCGGAUUUUUGAACUCUUUCUUUUGUUUUUUUUUCUGCUGCUGCUUUUUUUGUUUUGCUUUUCUUUUUGAUUAAUUGUGGCUUUCAAGUGGUUGAGGUAAGGGGAAAAAGAUGGUGGCGGUAGUUGCGUGAUGGUGGUGAGGGCCCUUUUGCUGCUGUUUUCUUGGUGUUUUUGCUGCUAUUUUCUUUCAUUUUUUUUUACUUUCUCCAUGUUUUACUCUUGUUUACUUUUUUUUUUUUGAGGGUUUUUCACGUGAAAUGUUUGUGUUCGAUCUUCUCCACUUUUACUAUCUCGUUGUUUAUGCUAGUCGAUCCCCAAUAGAUAGCAAACAUAGGGCAUGUUUAGUAGCACUUAAAAAAAACACUUCUGGCUCCAAAAAUAUUUUUAAAAGAAAAGUUGUGCUAAAUAAGUUGCUUUUGGCUAAAUUUUUUUUGCUCAAAAACACUUUUGAAAAGAAAAAGCUAAAAUUUUUUAGCUUUGCUUUCACAAAAACAUUUUUGAUGCUUAAUUACUUUUUAUCCCUCCAAUAAUAUAGUACUUUCCCUUUUUUUCUUUUAAUUGCUUAAUUACAAAUGUGUUAAAAUCAUUCAUUAAAAUAAAAUAAAAAAUAUUUUUUAAAAUAUUAAUUACAAAUAUUUAAUUGUUAUAUUUAAAUAUUUAAAAUAUGAUUUAUAUAUUUUAAUUAAACUUUUUAAAUAAUUAAUAUUUAUUGUUUAAAAUAUUUAAAUUUAUAUUGCAUAUAUUUAAAUAUGAAAAAAUAACAAGGAAAUGGAAAUUAUGGAAUUGAUAAGCUCAUCAAUCAUGGUAUAAAUUACUGAUACAUAGAAAUUGUUGGACUAAUUUGAAUGUUGAGUUUGUGCAUGAUAAGGGAAUAAUGUAUGGAAUGGGUGUAUGAAUAUUUAUUGCAUUGUAUUGAAAAUAUUAGGUAAGUAUAAUCCUUGUUACAUGAACUUACUAAGCAUAAAGUGCUUACCUGUUUCUUUUUCUCUUAUUUUGUAGUGUUAAGAGCUCGGAGGUUGGAUUCGGUUAGAGACGUAUCACACUAUCAACCUCAAGAUCUCGGUAUAUAAAGAAACUUUAUUUUGGAAAUCGAUGGCAUUUAUAAGCUAGUAAAGUAAAUGUUAAUGUGAAAUGAAUGAAUGGUUAGCCAUUGGUAUGACUAACAAAUUUUGGUUUUGGUAUGUGAUGAGGUUAUCUUAUGAAGACGUUAAAUCUAUCUUGAAAAUAUGUUGAAAUUGAUUGGUUGUGUUGGUUUGGUCUCGGUUUAAAAUUGC